rnacentral:rRNA from 1 species
CUCUGCUAUCACUUCUGGAUGGACCCGCGGCGUAUUAGCUAGUUGGUGAGGUAAAGGCUCACCAAGGCAGUGAUACGUAGCCGACCUGAGAGGGUAAUCGGCCACAUUGGGACUGAGACACGGCCCAGACUCCUACGGGAGGCAGCAGUAGGGAAUCUUCCACAAUGGACGCAAGUCUGAUGGAGCAACGCCGCGUGAGUGAAGAAGGGUUUCGGCUCGUAAAGCUCUGUUGUUAAAGAAGAACGUGGGUAAGAGUAACUGUUUACCCAGUGACGGUAUUUAACCAGAAAGCCACGGCUAACUACGUGCCAGCAGCCGCGGUAAUACGUAGGUGGCAAGCGUUAUCCGGAUUUAUUGGGCGUAAAGCGAGCGCAGGCGGUCUUUUAAGUCUAAUGUGAAAGCCUUCGGCUCAACCGAAGAAGUGCAUUGGAAACUGGGAGACUUGAGUGCAGAAGAGGACAGUGGAACUCCAUGUGUAGCGGUGAAAUGCGUAGAUAUAUGGAAGAACACCAGUGGCGAAGGCGGCUGUCUGGUCUGCAACUGACGCUGAGGCUCGAAAGCAUGGGUAGCGAACAGGAUUAGAUACCCUGGUAGUCCAUGCCGUAAACGAUGAUUACUAAGUGUUGGAGGGUUUCCGCCCUUCAGUGCUGCAGCUAACGCAUUAAGUAAUCCGCCUGGGGAGUACGACCGCAAGGUUGAAACUCAAAAGAAUUGACGGGGGCCCGCACAAGCGGUGGAGCAUGUGGUUUAAUUCGAAGCUACGCGAAGAACCUUACCAGGUCUUGACAUCUUCUGACAGUCUAAGAGAUUAGAGGUUCCCUUCGGGGACAAAAUGACAGGUGGUGCAUGGUUGUCGUCAGCUCGUGUCGGGAGAUGUUGGGUUAAGUCCCGCAACGAGCGCCAUCCUUUAUUACUAGUUGCCAGCAUUAAGUUG